UGUUUAGAUGCUUUGUGUUUUGAACACACUGAUUGAUUAAUCUACAGCUGCUUCUGGGUGCUCAGCAAUUUUCACGGGUCUUGUUGCUAUGAGACGAGGACUUCUCUGAAAUCGCCAAUGUGACAGGCAUCAUGAAGAGGCGGUGAGUUCUGCCUGUUAGCCACAGUGCCACCAAGCGGUCAUUCUUCAAAACAGUUCGACAAAGUCGAUUUGCGUUUCCACUGUUCUCUAAUUACAGCACGGUCAGGUCGUCUCUCAGAUAAAUUAUUAGCAGGUUAACUGAACAGUGGGGUAUUGUUUACUCUCUUCAUAUUCUUCUGCACACAGUGAGGAUUUUUUCCUCCAAUGAAUGAAUCAUGCCAUGGCAAGCAGGAUGGAAAAAAGAAUGGUGGACUGGUUGGCAGAAGCAAAACUGCAGGUGAAACGCAAACUCUCGCCUCCAGCUCACGUGCUGCGAAGCCUCCUUUCAUCACUGCCUCCAGCUCCUUUACCCCACAUACUUUGAUGAAUGGUUGA
rnacentral:lncRNA from 1 species